UACGUAGGGGGCUAGCGUUAUCCGGAAUUACUGGGCGUAAAGGGUGCGUAGGUGGUUUCUUAAGUCAGAGGUGAAAGGCUACGGCUCAACCGUAGUAAGCCUUUGAAACUGGGGAACUUGAGUGCAGGAGAGGAGAGUGGAAUUCCUAGUGUAGCGGUGAAAUGCGUAGAUAUUAGGAGGAACACCAGUUGCGAAGGCGGCUCUCUGGACUGUAACUGGCACUGAGGCACGAAAGCGUGGGGAGCAAACAGG
rnacentral:rRNA from 1 species